CGGCCCGUCCUCUGAACACGGCCGGUGUCCGAGCCGCAGGCUUGGCCAGUUUGCUGUCUGUUUGCUGAGUGUCCUAGGCUGGCUCCAAUCACCUACAUCAUUCACCUGUUAGCAGAAAAGCCCGCGGUUGUAGAGGUUAAAGAACAGAAGUUGUUCCAGAAGAAGGAAGGAAAGAGUGCAUGGAGCCAAGACAAAAGUGUUCAAGGACAUUACUGCUAAAUGACAGGAGCAACUGGGUUAAGGUUAGAACCCGGAACAGUGAAGUCACAACUCUGCCAGCCCAAGCUGACUAAAGGUGAGGUACCAAAUAAGCAGCACCGUGACAGUACGGUGGGUGGGAUUUUAAUAAACAUUUAUAUUGUAACACUCCAUUUGUGGCUCUGCAAGACCAUACCAGUGCUAACAUUUAAUAGUGUACAAGAACCUAACCAUGUAAAUCUGUAUUGAUACAAUGUAGACACUAAUUUUAUAGUAAAAUGUGUAUACUUAUUUUUAGUAAGGGCAGCAAAUGAUAAAAACACAAAGUAAAACAUGCCUUAAAUCACAAGAGUUCAGUUUCUGUAUCAGCUGACAGAACGUAAGCCUGCAUAAUAAAGACAGAAUUCAAUAAUGA